UUCUUCAGGGCAGGGUGUAAUUCCCGACCGGCGGUAAAGUCCGCGAGCUGUAUCCUUAGAGAUAUGGCCGAAUCGGUGAGAUUCCGAUACCGACAGUAGAGUCUGGAUGAGAGAAGAA
rnacentral:ncRNA from 1 species